rnacentral:tRNA from 1 species
CUCUAGCUGGUCUAGUGGGUAGGAUGCCUGGUUUUCACCUAGGCUGCCCAGGUUCACUUCCUGAGCAGGGAA